AAGAGGAGCUGAUGCCCAUAUACUCCUCGAUGAGCUAUUUUAGCUUUUUCAGGUCAACAACCUUGAGUGCAGGACAUCCACAGAGAGCUUGAGAUCAGUUAUCUGUCAAACAGCGGAAGAAAUAUGCAAUGAGCUUGCUAAAAUAAAGGCAUUAGGACUCAAUAUUCACAGUUCAUACCUCCUGGGACAAAGCUUGGAUAUCUGCUGAAGAAUUAGCCACGCCUGCUGCACCACUUGACCUAUGUUGCUUGGGCCCUAUUGUCAAAAAAGGCAUCAAAUAAUACAGAAAGUCAUGACAAAAAGAGUAGAACGUGGUAAAACAAACAAACGAAAGUGGAGAACAUUCUAAGACCAAAGAUGUCAAGAAGCCAACCAGAGG